rnacentral:rRNA from 1 species
CCGCCGCGGUAAUACGAAGGGGGCUAGCGUUGCUNGGAANNACGGGGCGUAAAGGGAGCGUAGGCGGACAUUUAAGUCAGGGGUGAAAUCCCAGAGCUCAACUCUGGAACUGCCUUUGAUACUGGGUGUCUUGAGUGUGAGAGAGGUAUGUGGAACUCCGAGUGUAGAGGUGAAAUUCGUAGAUAUUCGGAAGAACACCAGUGGCGAAGGCGACAUACUGGCUCAUUACUGACGCUGAGGCUCGAAAGCGUGGGGAGCAAACAGGAUUAGAUACCCUGGUAGUCCACGCCGUAAACGUUGGGCACUAGGUGUGGGGGACAUUCCACGUUUUCCGCGCCGUAGCUAACGCAUUAAGUGCCCCGCCUGGGGAGUACGAUCGCAAGAUUAAAACUCAAAGGAAUUGACGGGGCCCCGCACAAGCAGCGGAGCAUGCGGCUUAAUUCGACGCAACGCGAAGAACCUUACCAAGGCUUGACAUAUACCGGAAUAUGGCAGAAAUGUCAUAGCUGUAAAAGGUCGGUAUACAGGUGGUGCAUGGUUGUCGUCAGCUCGUGUCGUGAGAUGUUGGGUUAAGUCCCGCAACGAGCGCAACCCUCGUUCUGUGUUGCCAGCAUUUAGUUGGGGACUCACAGGAGACUGCCGGGGUCAACUCGGAGGAAGGUGGGGAUGACGUCAAAUCAUCAUGCCCCUUAUGUCUUGGGCUGCACGCAUGCUACAAUGGCUGGUACAAAGGGCUGCGAUACCGCANUNUGGAGCGAAUCCCAAAAAGCCAGUCUCAGUUCGGAUUGGGGUCUGCAACUCGACCCCAUGAAGUCGGAGUCCUCUAUCGCAGAUCAGCAACGCUGCGGUGAAUACGCCGCUCUCUUGUACACACCGCCCGUCAAAC